UACGUAGGGCGCAAGCGUUGUCCGGAAUUAUUGGGCGUAAAGAGCUCGUAGGCGGUCUGUUACGUCCGCUGUGAAAACCCAGGGCUUAACCCUGGGCUUGCAGUGGAUACGGGCAGACUAGAGGCAGGUAGGGGAGAAUGGAAUUCCCGGUGUAGCGGUGAAAUGCGCAGAUAUCGGGAGGAACACCGGUGGCGAAAGCGGCGCACUGGACCAUAACUGACGCUGAGGCGCGAAAGCUAGGGGAGCAAACAGG
rnacentral:rRNA from 1 species